rnacentral:tRNA from 1 species
GCCUGGGUGGCUCAGUCGGUUGAGCAUCCGACUUCAGCUCAGGUCAUGAUCUCACGGUCUGUGGGUUUGAGCCCCGCAUCAGGCU